rnacentral:rRNA from 1 species
UACGAAGGUCCCAAGCGUUAUCCGGAUUUAUUGGGUUUAAAGGGUGCGUAGGCGGGCUAUUAAGUCAGUGGUGAAAGCCCCAGCUUAACUUGGGAACUGCCAUUGAUACUGAUGGUCUUGAGUACAUUUGAGGUGGGCGGAAUGUGUCAUGUAGCGGUGAAAUGCUUAGAUAUGACACAGAACACCGAUUGCGAAGGCAGCUCACUAAACUGU